rnacentral:rRNA from 1 species
CAGUCGCCGCGGGAAUACGAAGGGUGCAAGCGUUAAUCGGAAUUACUGGGCGUAAAGCGUGCGUAGGCGGUUUGUUAAGUCUGUUGUGAAAUCCCCGGGCUCAACCUGGGAAUGGCAGUGGAUACUGGCUCGCUAGAGUGUGUCAGAGGAUGGUGGAAUUCCCGGUGUAGCGGUGAAAUGCGUAGAGAUCGGGAGGAACAUCAGUGGCGAAGGCGGCCAUCUGGGACAACACUGACGCUGAGGCACGAAAGCGUGGGGAGCAAACAGGAUUAGAUACCCCCGUAGUCCCUGUCUCUUAUAC